UACGUAGGGUGCGAGCGUUAAUCGGAAUUACUGGGCGUAAAGCGUGCGCAGGCGGUUCGUUGUGUCGGCGGUGAAAGCCCCGGGCUUAACCUGGGAAUGGCCGUCGAAACUGGCGAACUGGAGUGUGGCAGAGGGGGGUGGAAUUCCGCGUGUAGCAGUGAAAUGCGUAGAGAUGCGGAGGAAUACCGAUGGCGAAGGCAGCCCCCUGGGCCAAUACUGACGCUCAUGCACGAAAGCGUGGGGAGCAAACAGG
rnacentral:rRNA from 1 species